GACGAACGCUGGCGGCGUGCUUAACACAUGCAAGUCGAACGGUAAGGCCCUUCGGGGUACACGAGUGGCGAACGGGUGAGUAACACGUGGGUGAUCUGCCCUGCACUUCGGGAUAAGACUGGGAAACUGGGUCUAAUACCGGAUAGGACCAUUGCCUGCAUGGGUGGUGGUGGAGAGCUUUUGCGGUGUGGGAUGGGCCCGCGGCCUAUCAGCUUGUUGGUGGGGUGAUGGCCUACCAAGGCGACGACGGGUAGCCGGCCUGAGAGGGUGACCGGCCACACUGGGACUGAGAUACGGCCCAGACUCCUACGGGAGGCAGCAGUGGGGAAUAUUGCACAAUGGGCGCAAGCCUGAUGCAGCGACGCCGCGUGAGGGAUGACGGCCUUCGGGUUGUAAACCUCUUUCAGCACCGACGAAGCGCAAGUGACGGUAGGUGCAGAAGAAGGACCGGCCAACUACGUGCCAGCCGCCGCCGUAA
rnacentral:rRNA from 1 species